AUUUUGGGGGUGACCUCUUGUGGUGUCGAGCGAGGAGCUCCACACGGCGUGGCUGGCUGCCACACUCCCUGGGAUGGGGGGCGUUCUUGGGUGGGCCAUUUGAUCUAAGCGUCCGGCCCGCAGCACUCACCUGUGAAACCGCAUCAAGCUACACAAAACUUCUCUGAAGAAGACCUUUAACAGGUCGAAACGUUCGUUAGAAUUGUUUAUAUUAUGAUGCAUAUUUUUGAUUGUAUAAACACCAUUUGUGUACCGUUUUACACACUCAUGUAAACGCUGUUUGUGUACCUGCUAUAACUCAUGUUCCAUCCAUUGCGCCAUCCCUCCUUGUUCCCAUUUUUUACAUGUGAAUCAAAUAAAAUAUAUAUUUUUUACUACA